rnacentral:misc_RNA from 1 species
UGUGGGAGCGGGCUUGCUCGCGAAGGCGUUGUGUCAGCCAACAUCAAUGUCGCUGACAGAUUGCAUUCGCGAGCAAGCCCGCUCCCACA